UGAAGCAAGCUCUCGAUGACCUGCUACUUUCACACAAGAAGAGGUAGAAGAAUUCAAAAAGUUUGCCACAAAUCAAGAUACAUAUAAAGUCAUAUGCUCCAAGAUUGCUCCCUCUAUAUUUGGUCACGAUGAGGUCAAGAAGGCUGUUGCUUGUCUUCUAUUUGGAGGAGCCAGGAAAAAUUUGCCUGACGGGGUGAAGUUAAGAGGUGAUAUUAACGUGUUGCUUCUUGGUGAUCCAUCUACUG